rnacentral:rRNA from 1 species
AUUGAACGCUGGCGGCAUGCCUUACACAUGCAAGUCGAACGGCAGCACGGGAGCAAUCCUGGUGGCGAGUGGCGAACGGGUGAGUAAAGUAUCGGAACGUGCCCAGUCGUGGGGGAUAACGUAGCGAAAGUUACGCUAAUACCGCAUACGAUCUAUGGAUGAAAGCGGGGGAUCGCAAGACCUCGCGCGAUUGGAGCGGCCGAUAUCAGAUUAGGUAGUUGGUGGGGUAAAGGCUCACCAAGCCGACGAGCUGUAGCUGGCCUGAGAGGACGCCCAGCCACACGGGGACUGAGACACGGGCCAGACUCCUACGGGAGGCAGCAGUGGGGAAUUUUGGACAAUGGGCGCAAGCCUGAUUCAGCCAUGCCGCGUGCAGGAUGAAGGCCUUCGGGUUGUAAACUGCUUUUGUACGGAACGAAAAGGUUUGGCCUAAUAAGCUGAGCUCAUGACGGUACCGUAAGAAUAAGCACCGGCUAACUACGUGCCAGCCGCCGCAGUAA